GCUCAGAUUGAACGCUGGCGGCAGGCCUAACACAUGCAAGUCGAACGGUAACAGGAAGCAGCUUGCUGCUUCGCUGACGAGUGGCGGACGGGUGAGUAAUGUCUGGGAAACUGCCUGAUGGAGGGGGAUAACUACUGGAAACGGUAGCUAAUACCGCAUAACGUCGCAAGACCAAAGAGGGGGACCUUCGGGCCUCUUGCCAUCGGAUGUGCCCAGAUGGGAUUAGCUAGUAGGUGGGGUAACGGCUCACCUAGGCGACGAUCCCUAGCUGGUCUGAGAGGAUGACCAGCCACACUGGAACUGAGACACGGUCCAGACUCCUACGGGAGGCAGCAGUGGGGAAUAUUGCACAAUGGGCGCAAGCCUGAUGCAGCCAUGCCGCGUGUAUGAAGAAGGCCUUCGGGUUGUAAAGUACUUUCAGCGGGGAGGAAGGCGAUAAGGUUAAUAACCUUGUCGAUUGACGUUACCCGCAGAAGAAGCACCGGCUAACUCCGUGCCAGCAGCCGCGGUAAUACGGAGGGUGCAAGCGUUAAUCGGAAUUACUGGGCGUAAAGCGCACGCAGGCGGUCUGUCAAGUCGGAUGUGAAAUCCCCGGGCUCAACCUGGGAACUGCAUUCGAAACUGGCAGGCUAGAGUCUUGUAGAGGGGGGUAGAAUUCCAGGUGUAGCGGUGAAAUGCGUAGAGAUCUGGAGGAAUACCGGUGGCGAAGGCGGCCCCCUGGACAAAGACUGACGCU
rnacentral:rRNA from 1 species